UGGGGAAUAUUGGACAAUGGGCGCAAGCCUGAUCCAGCGACGCCGCGUGGGGGAUGAAGGUCUUCGGAUUGUAAACCCCUUUCGGGAGGGAAGAUGGAAUGGGGUAACCCAUUCGGACGGUACCUCCAGAAGCAGCCACGGCUAACUUCGUGCCAGCAGCCGCGGUAAUACGAAGGUGGCAAGCGUUAUUCGGAUUUACUGGGCGUACAGGGAGCGUAGGCGGUUUGGUAAGCCCUCUGUGAAAUCUUCAGGCUUAACCUGGAAAAGUCGGGGGGGACUGCUGGGCUAGAGGACGGGAGAGGAGCGCGGAAUUCCCGGUGUAGCGGUGAAAUGCGUAGAGAUCGGGAGGAAGGCCGGUGGCGAAGGCGGCGCUCUGGAACGUUUCUGACGCUGAGGCUCGAAAGCGUGGGGAGCAAACAGGAUUAGAUACCCUGGUAGUCCACGCCGUAAACUAUGAGUGCUAGUCGUCAGCGGGCAUGCCCGUUGGUGACGCAGCUAACGCAUUAAGCACUCCGCCUGGGGAGUACGGCCGCAAGGUUA
rnacentral:rRNA from 1 species